rnacentral:rRNA from 1 species
UACAGAGGGUGCAAGCGUUGUUCGGAAUUACUGGGCGUAAAGCGUGCGUAGUCGGUAUUGAGAGUCGCGGGUGAAAUCCCAGGGCUUAACCCUGGAACUGCCUGCGAGACCUCAGUACUAGAGUGUGAGAGGGGAUAGUGGAAUACCCAGUGUAGCGGUGAAAUGCGUAGAGAUUGGGUAGAACACCGGUGGCGAAGGCGGCUAUCUGGCUCACAACCGACGAUCAGGCACGAAAGCGUGGGGAGCAAACAGG